AUGCUUGCUUUAGCACAUAUACUAAAAUUGGAAUGAUAUAGAAAAGAUUAGCAUAGUCCCUGCACAAGGAUGAUAUGCAAAUUCAUGAAGAAUUCUGUAUAUUU
ensembl:snRNA U6 U6 spliceosomal RNA